rnacentral:lncRNA from 1 species
AAUGGUGGAAAUUUUGAGCCUUGGCCUUGAAAUUAAAUCAGCUAGGGUUCUUGAGCAAUUAUCAAGAAAGUAAGUAUGUUUUGAUAAAUGAAGGCUGAAUCUUAUGUUUUUGGGCAGAAUAGGGGUGGGGAAAAGACCCUAAUAUCCCAAAGGACGUGGCUUUUUAAUUACUGAAUACUGGACUGUCGACCCGUAGGACGACGCACCGCAUCAUUAGCAUCGAUGUGAUAGACAAUGCAC